rnacentral:rRNA from 1 species
ACGCUCGACACCUACGGCAGCAGUGGGGAAUAUUGCACAAUGGGGGAAACCCUGAUGCAGCGACGCCGCGUGAAGGAAGAAGUAUCUCGGUAUGUAAACUUCUAUCAGCAGGGAAGAAAGUGACGGUACCUGACUAAGAAGCCCCGGCUAACUACGUCGCUAGCACGCCGAGUAUNGNGGCGGNGNGAGAG